rnacentral:lncRNA from 1 species
CUCCGCUGCAGCCAUCACUGCUGUGCUAGGCAUGGUGGCAUUGGUGAUGGUGGUGGAGUGGACAGGGGUGUCAGCAUGAACCUAGCAUCCCUCUAUCAUUGCACAUGAGUCUGGGUUUAUGUCCUGGCCAUUAUAUGGAGUCUAAGGGCAUCUCUGUGAUGUGUAGACUUUUUCCACACUUAUAAGGAUGUGGGCAGAAGAAAGCAGAAGAAAGACUUCUCUUCUCCAGUCCUCAAAUGAUGCAUAACUAGCAUCCUCUCAUAGUUUCAAGGAGGAGAAAAAAGGCAGACUGAAAUAGAGACAAGGUAUCAUUUGAAAUCGAUUCUAUUCGCUGUCAGUGUAAAGCAAAGCAGAGAUUAAGCAUCUACUCUUCAUUGUGUAACAGUUAUGACUUUGGCUAUGAUAAGUGCAACUCUAUUUUAGUACGUUUCUUUGGUGCCUACAUAUACAAUAAAGGCUCUACUCCACAGCUGCUACACCUUUAAAUGGGUGACAUGUGAAAAAAUUGCUGUCUUGUUUGUGUCAGACAGCCAUUUCCCUCUAAAAUACUUCUUGUUAUUCCAUAUUUAAUAAGUGCCCACUGAGUGCUGGGCAGUGUCCAAGACACAGCCACAGUCCCCGCCCACACACAUGCAUGUGCCAAAGCAAUUUGGCAAUCGGUGCUGUGAUGUGCUUCUCUGACCAUCGUGGAUGGCUUUCUUCUGAUACAAAGAGUGUCAACAGCAACCCAGCUGUAGAUUUCUUCCAAGAAAGCUAUAAAAGAAAUUGAAUGCAUUUUGUUUGCUUAGUGAAUUAUAAAAGAAACCAUAACAAUGACUUGAUAGUACAUAUAAAGACAUUACAAUUGCCAAGUACUUUCACAGCAGCUCUGUGUCAUUGACUCUUACAUUUUUUUUUUUGAGUUAUUCAAGGCAGAUAUUACUAUCUCCCUUAUCCUCUGAGAGGUGAAGGGACUUUUCCAAGAAUAAGAAGUAAAUGGCAGAGCCAGGAGGAGAUUCCCACUAUUCUGAUAUUUCCUCCCAACCCCCAACCCUCAAGAUAUCACAAAGUCUCUCAUUAGCUAAGAAGUUUCCAAGUAUAAAUUGUGAAAUCUUGUAUUUUAAUCUUACUUUCUUUCAUAUGGGUAACAGAUCCUAGGGAAUAGUCCUUUAAAUUGUCUUUUCCAUCUGUAAAAAGUUUACUCUACAAAAUCUUUAUGUAUAGAUCAGUCACUAUUUACCAAAGUUUUGGAAUACAUAAACCAACUAGGAAAAGCUUAGUUAAAUAUAAUUAAAAUUCUUUUGGGCUGUGAUUAUCUGAAAAAUGGCACCAUUUUCUAAAAAUAGUGUUUUGCCUUUAGGCAUUAAUUUGAUUUAAACAUUUAGAAUCACCUUUAAUUAUACACACACACAUACAGAGAGAGAGAGAGGGAGAGAGAGAGAGAGAGAGAGUGUGUGUGUGUGUGUGUGUGUGUGUGUAAUCACCAAGUUCCCUAGAGUUCCACAGAACAUGAAUAAACAUAUGGACUGUUCUCUUACACCUACUCCACAAGUCUGAGUAUUGAGGAUUUAUAUAGUUAGAGACUAUGUGGUGUAAAUAUGUAUAAAUUUAUAUUGUGUUAAUUUAUGGCAUGCGGUACAGAAGGCUGUUUGCAAGUUGCAGUGUACUUCUUCCCACGUUUAUGCUGAAAUAUCAUUUCUGGGUUCCUUCCCCAUGUUUUCCUUUGUCUCCCCACAGAUGUUUGGGCAGCUUGUUUUCAGGGGAGUGAAUACAUCUUGGAAGUAUGCUUGCGGAAUGCAAUUCAGGUGAAGAAUGCACUAUCUCUAUUGGGAUUUGGCUGAAGGAUAUUCCCCCUUCGCCUUAUGUCCUGCCCGCUUCUGUUAUGAAGACAAUUGCUCCAGGGUAGCCACACUCUUGGGGGCUGCCAUUUCCUGGCCUGGGUGUCCUCAAGGUCCAUAGAGCGGUUCUAAGUAGAAUAGUCUCAGAGCACCAUGUGUGAGAGAACACGACAGAAUAGAAACUGAUUAUGCAAAAUGUGCGAGAGAGAACUGCAGCUCUUGGUGACAUGUGGCAGCCUCAUUGGGAAGGGAGUGCUGUGUAACUCUGGGUGCUGUCUCUGAUGGCCACGUGUCACAAGCUGAAUGGCAAAAGGGGGGUUAAAAACUGAGUUUGUGAAUUGUUGCAUGUAGUCCUCUGAGACAUUCACGUGCCAUGCACACAUGCAAGGAGGUAUCCUGAGAGGCCACUCUCAGCAGCAACACUCACCCACACAGAGGUAAGAGAGGGGAAUGCCAGGAUUUUUGUCUGUGUUUUUUUUUUUUUUUUUUUUUUUUUUUUGGUAUUUUGUCCCAGAGUCCUUACUCUGGGCUGUGUAGACCCCUCUAAAGAUAUGACUACUCUAUGAGAACCCCUCCCACCCAAUGCGAAGAUUGCAAAAGCUCUUAGGAGGAUGGAAAUGGUUACAUGGUUGGAUAGAGGGGCAGCAGGAACAUGAGAGGCAUAGAAGAUUUUUUUUUCUUUUUUUUUCUUUUGAGACAGAGAAUUCCAGACACAGCAGAGAAUCAAAAUGGUGUUUGGAAGAUUACAAGCCUAGCAAACCUUUUGUGCUCAGGAGCUAUCCAGAGUACUAGGCUGCCUCUACCUCCGGUUCACCUGAGCUGAGGCCAGAGUCUUCUGCUCGGUAUCUGACAUCAAGUCUCUGCCUUGGGCUUGGCUUCAGCUCUAAUUCAUACCAGCUUCCUUCCCUCUUCUGUGUUCUACUGGACUCCACUAUUCUCAGAACCAACCAUUUGCAAGCCGUGGGAAAGCCUGGUUUUGAUAACCAGCUGCACCCAAUGCCACCUUCACUGUGGUUUUAAUAAGAGAUAGCUUGUUUCCCUGGAUGUUUCCCAGCCAUAGUGGACACACACACACACACACACACACACACACACACACAGACGCGUGUGCGCGCAUGCACACACACACAUCAUUAGAUUUUGCAGACAUGAGGUUUAUAUUUUUAGAUAGAUUUUUGCAUAAGCACAUUUGAAUUUAUGUACAAUAUGUCAGACCUUGCUUUACAGUGACCUGAUUUAAAAAAGUUUUUUUCUACAGAUUUCUCUGUAUGUGCAUAUAUACAGAAGCUUGUAGCAAUCAGUAUACAAAAUAAUGUCAUCAGGGAGGGGUUGAGCAAUGUAGAAAGAACUGAGUGCAUUGAUGUCUAAUGCCUAUUCUGGCUAUGGGCAAAUGUACAAUGAGAAAAUGAUGUCAGUUCUAGAACAGGCUGGUGACUUGAGCAUAAGCAUCUGAUUCCCUGCAUCUUAAUCUUGAUGUAAAUGAGCAAUUAAAUGUCUAAAGAGAGUGUCUCAGAUUGGAGAGACUCCCACUGGCCAGAUCUGGGAAAUUCUGAACUAAAAUAAUUAAGUACAGUAAUGACUUUUAAACCAUUGGAAAAAAAAAAAGUAGGAAAUCAUGCAUCCAUGCUGAUAACAAAUAGAUAAAUAAAUAAUUCAGGGAGAAGAGAGGGCUCUUGUUUACAGUUGAGUGCUAGAGACCAACUGGUAAAAACUGUAAAAUCAUCAUCUUGCAAGCAUCAUGGUAAAGACUGAAAUAGGCGAGAAAUGUGGUUAAAUGCUAAAUCACAUAGGAGAUUUAGAAGAGCAGGAUAUUUACACAUAUUAAAGUGUGUAUGUGUGUGAGAGAGAGAGACACAGAGAGAGAGAUGGAGAGAGAGGAAAAGAAAAAGAAGGAAGGAAAGAAAGAGAAAGAAAGAAAGAAUAAAGAAAGAAAGAAAAGGAGGAGGAGAGGAAGGAAGGAAGGAAAGAAGGGGAAGGUUUUUGAAAUGCAGAUAUUUUUCCCUGAAAUGUUGGUUGGCAGUGAUGGAAACUAAGAUGGACGUAAUGAGCCUCAAAGAAAAAUUGAGUUGGCCCCACACAAUUUCUCGAUAAUCUUCAAAUACAGUAGAUAAUGGAAACAACGUCUAAAAAGUUUUGAGAGGAUGUCGAUUCAUGAAUUUCACAACAAGCCCAGUGAUUGUUCUGAGAAAGACAAAGAAAAAUAUUGUAAACUAAGCAAUGACUGUGAAAAUGUAAAAUUUAUGUAUUCUUUUUGACAACUAUUCUAGCUAACCAAGUGAUUAACCAAAGUAACGUUCAAGAACACAGAAACUCUGGUACAAAAGUACUAAAAGUGAGUCUUAAAACUAUUUAAACCAGUUAUUCUAAAUAAUAUUUAUUGUAUGAUUGAAGAGAUAGAAUGCAAAAUAUCAUUUAUUUUAACAUUUCCUAAUAGACAAAAUGUUCAACAUAAAAUGAUGAUCAUAUUAAUAAUAAUUUAAACUAUGAAAUUACAUAUAAAAUUCCAUAUUAACGGCCGAGUGCAGUGGCUCAUGCCUGCAAUCCCAGCACUUUGGGAGGCCGAAGCAGGCGUAUCAUCUGAGAUCAGGAGUUCAAGAUGGGCCUGACCAACAUGGUGAAACCCCAUCUCUACUAAAAAUACAAAAUCAGCCAGGUGUGGUGCCACAUGCCUGUAAUCUCAGCUACUCAGGAGGCUGAGGCAGGAGAAUCAGUUGAACCCAGGGGGCGGAGGUUGCAGUGAGCUGAGAUCGUGCCACUACACUCCAGCCUGAGCGACAGAACAAAACUCUUGUCUCAAAAAAAAAAAAAAAUUCCAUAUUAACUAACAAAAAUUGGGGUUGCAGGGGAAAAGGGAUGAGAAAGCAUAAGUGUGUUAAUUUUGAUAUUUUACACAGUGGGCACUAUGUGAAUCAGAAAACUGACAUGAAACUGAUCAUUCAUGCCCAAGGUAUAACUGAGGAGAGUUAAAUGAAGGUUUAUCAUAACCCUUGUAGGAGGUUAUGCGGGACCAGCAAGAGAUGGCGAAACACUUGGGGAUAGUAUGAGCAGGUAGCUGUUACCAACUCCUAGGUCUGCAGAGGUAAGGAAAAGAAAAAUAGAUAAUUAUAGAAGCGCUUCCUGCCAGGAGCUGCAGCCUUCAAGAGAAGCACACAGCUGUGCCAAUCCAUGGCCCUACAGGAAGGGCACCAGGGAAGUAGAUAGAGUGGGCUCUUUCCUCCCACACUUCCAUCUCCUGCCAGAGCCUCAUGGGCUGAACCCAACUGAGACCCAGAGGAAGAGGAAACCCAGCUGAAGCCCAUAGAAGAAAGUCUCUGAGCCAUCAAGCAGAGUGGAGAAAGCUGGAAAAUAAACCUCAGGAGGAACCAGAGAAUAUUUAGGGCAGAUGACAGUAGUACUUUUAUUUACUAAUAUUUACAUAAAAGGUGCAAAAAUGUAAAUAUCAGCACCACAUUUUUCCAAUAGUUUUCUAUAAGACAAUUGUUUCACUAAAGGUUUGUUGGGAAAGGGAUUCUGUGUUCAAAUAAAUUUGGCCUGUUGUGUAUUUUCUGCUGUUGUAGCCUAAAAUUCAUUAACAUAUUAAAAAUUAUAAGAACUACAGUGAGAAGGCUGUUUAAUUCAUCCUGAAUUUCCCAAACAUAUUUAAUGGCACAAUUUCUUUGCUGUGAGUAACAGCUCUUAAUACCCCCAUGAAACUUUGGGAAAUAACAUAUGAACAGAUUUGAGACUAUGAUACAUACUUUACAAAUCACAACUGAUGAAAAAUUUAUAAUAAAAAGAUUUUAAGGUAGUAAUAGCAAGGAGCCCUACAGGAACAGAAAGCUUAAUAUUAGUAACAGAUGUAAGGUGAGGAUAUCAAUUUUGCCAAUAUAUAAAGGACAAAACUCCCUCACAGAAAUACAAAGAUUCUAAAAAUAAAAAAAAGAAAAUCCAGAAGAAUUAUUGUCUUCUAUAAGUACAUUUAAAACUAAAGAAGGUUAAAAGUAAAAGUUUGGAAAUCACAUGUAAGGAAGUCUUACUUUGAAAUAUACAAAUGUACUUUUCCUUUGAAUUUGCCUCCUGGCUGGGCAUAGAGAGGGCAAGGGGAGGAUGAAAAUAUUAUGACUGAAAUGCAAGAAGAAAGAGUUGGCAUGAGCCACCGUGUCCGACCCCAUUUACAUUUAAUGUAAUUACUCAUGUACUUUGGUUUGAGUUUAAUUCACCAUUUUAUUAUGUUCUUUCUACUUGUGUCACCUGUUUUAUUUUCUUUUUUCUUAUUUACUUGAUUAAUUUUAUUUUCUGCAUUAUUUCAUUUUCCUCCCAACUAUCACUUUCUGUUAUUUUAAUAUUUCCCUAGAAAUUACAGUAAGGACCACAAUAUUCCAAAAUCAAAUGUUAAAUUAGUAGAUUUCACUUCUUUCUAAAAAGUACAAGAAUCUUAGAACACUUCAGUUUCAUUUGUUUAUCCCCAACAUAUACGCUAUUGUUGCUGUGUGUAUUAAUUAUAUAUUUAUAUGUGUGGGUGAAACUUUCACAAAAUAAAGUUCAUGGCCAUUUCUUCCAGCUCAGCAACUGCCUUCAAAGCUAAAGUAUCUUUGAGUAUUACACUUAUUUUCUAUAUUUCUGGGGUUUUGCCUUCUGUAUUUGGUCUGAAAUUUUCUCAUUCUGUUUUUAGGUGUUUAAAUCUUUUCUGAAUGAAUAACUAACAUUCCAUUAGGAGACAAUCAAAUUAGUCUAAGUGAAAGAUUAUAAGACCUUGAACAAAAGUAGUGACAAUGUGGAUGCAAUGACAAGGAAAUAUUUAAGAAAAACUAAUGAAGGACUGGUUUUAGUUCCUGAGUUCCUGUGAAAGAUGCAAGACAAAUGUUCCUUCUAUAAUCAUCUAUAUCUCAAAUACUUCCAAAACUUUAAUGCCAGGAAAAAUUUCUUUCCAUUCUAAUUUGUGUGUUUUUCUCCCCUCAGGUUAAAAAGUAAAUAAUUCUCACUCUCUGUAGGUAGCUAGGGGCACAAUUUAAUGCUCAGUCAUAGCACUGACUUAGCUUCUGUGUCUUACUUAGCCACUUUGUAUUUCAGAAUGGCUUUUAAUUGCCUUAUGCAUGUUUAAGUAAUGUUUUAUGUAUUUUUAACAUUUAAACUUUCUUAAUCAUUUUUGAAAAUAAGAAAAAUAAUAAAUUUGGGGGUAGAUUGGUUAAUAAAAUUAAGGUAGUUUCAAAUAUUUCUCUUAUUAAGAGAUGUAAUUUUAUGACUCAUUCAAGCAAAAUAAGUAUUAUAUAAAUAUAGUUACAUGAAUUUGGGGGAAUCAUUAUAUAAUUUUUAAUUUAAUUUUUAUUUUAUCCUCAGCUCCACUGCUCUCCACCUCUGAGUUCUAGUCACCUGAGGAGAUAAUCACAUUCAAUCCUUUUAACAUUCUUUUUUAUAUUUACAAUAACAUUUAAAAAUAAGUGGUUUAUGUGUUUGUCUGUUUUCACGCUGCUGAUAAAGACAUACCCGAGACUGGGUAUUUUACAAAAGAAAGAGGUUUGAUGGACUUAUAGUUCCACGUGGCUGGGGAAGCCUCACAAUCAUGACACAAGGCAAGGAGGAGCAAGUGAAGUCUUACAGCAGGCAAAGAGAGAACUUCUGCAGCGAAACUCCCGUUUUUUAAAACCAUCAGAUCUCGUGAGACUUGCUAUCAAGAGAACAGCACAGGAAGGAUUUGCUUCCAUGAUUCAAUUACCUCCCACCGGGUUCCUCCCAUGACACGCGGGAAUCGUGGGAGUUACAGUUCAAGAUGAGAUUUGGCUGGGGACACAGCCAAACCAUAUCAGUUGAUAUUACUAUUCAUAAUUUAAAAUUUAACUACUAAUUAUUUUUUUCUUUUAUGGAGAUAAAAAUUUAACCCUCUUACACCCUGUCCCUUAUAUACACAUACACAUAAUACUUCCAAUUUCUUCAACUUCCCAAUAUUAUUAUAAUUAUGAUUAUAAUUAUGUUAAAAUUGUUCAAGCUAAGGCACAAAAGGUGAUAUAAGUAUAUUUACUCUUUUUGAACGACUUUUUGUUUUUUCUAGAAUUUACAGUUGUCCUGUUGUUUUCAUGCACUUUUUUUAUAUACCAUGUUUUCUUCCCCUAAGCACUUCUGUAAAGAUGUAAAAUAAAUCACUUUCUCAUGAGCAAAACACAGGGAACUGAAUCUACUCUGUAUUUUUCUCAUCAGUAUCUCUCCUAGAAUCCAUAACCUCCUGAUUUAAUCCGAAUCUGAAUGUAGCUUUCAUCCUGAGCCUUCUCUUCAUCAUAACACUGGAAAAUCUCUGAUCCUGUUGCCUGGAUUUAUUCUCCUUCUCUUUAUUGCUUUAUUCUCUUGCUUAAAUGGAAUGCAUCCUCCUAUAGCUUCAUGAGAAAGAAUAUGUGAAAAGUUGAUUUUUGAGAACUUGUGUGUUUUCUAAUGUCUUUUCUUUUGAUACUUGAUUAAUAAUACCUUUAUUAUGUAGAAUUCUAGGUUGGACUAAUUUUUCCUGAUAAUUUUCAAGGUAUCAUUGUGUUGUUUUAUAGCUUCCAAUUUCGCUAUUCAAAAAAACAGCUCCAUAUGAUUACUGAUUAUUGGUGUUUGAUCUUCUCUUUUCUCCAGCAGCCUUUAUGGUUUAUUUCUUAUUUUAGGUUCUGAAAUUUUACAAUUAUAUUUUAUUUAAUGUUAGUUUUUUCUUCAUUCAUUUUAGCCAUCAAUGGAACCUUUCAAUCUGCAAAUGAAUGAUCUUCAGUUUUCGACAUUUUUCUUGUAUAACUUAUGUGAUAAUAUCACCCCUUUAAUUUUUCUAUUUUUCUAUUUUACUAGAAUUUUAUUAAUCCAUUUAGGCCCCCUAAUUUUCUUUUCUUUCAUGUUUUUCAUAUUUUUGUGCUUUUAUUGUACUUUCUGAGAGAUUUCCUCAAAUUUACCUUGCAUGUUAUUAUUUUCAAAAAAAUCUUAUUGAUUCAAUGCCCACAAACAUUUGUGGAGUAUUUAUUAUAUUGAAGUUACUAUAUUUAAGGCUGGUUGUGGGGAGAAAAACAAGUAUAAAAAGUCCCUCAAUUCAAAAAACUUAUAAUCUGCAAAUUUAUAAGCAAAUACCUAUAAAAUAAAAGCUAUGGUAAUUUGAGUUAACAAAUCUGAAAGUAAAGAAGGAAGAACUGUUGUAACUAUUAUUCUCAUUUCUCAACCAGAAGUGCAACUAGUGAGAAUAUUAGCAAGUUAAUUAAAAAAAAAUAUUACUAGUGGGCACAGUGGUUCACGCCUGUAAUCCCAGCACUUUGGGAGCAGGAGGCAGGAGGAUCCCUUGAGCCCGGGAGUUUGAGGGCAGCCUUGGCAACAUAGGGAGACCCCAUUUUCUACAAAAAAUAAAAAUAAAAAAUUAGACUGGUGUGGUGAUACAUGCCUGUGGUCCUAGCUAUUCAGAAGGCUGAGGUGGGAAGAUCGCUUGAGCCCAGGAGGUGGAGGCUAUAGUGAGCCAUGAUCAUGCCACUGCACUCCAGCCUGGGCAACAAAUCGAGACCCUGUCAAAACACACACACACACACACACACACACACACACACACACACACACACACACACCAAAUUACUAGUGAUUAUAUUAAGAAAGCAGAUGAAUUUUCUAUUCAGAUUGACACUACUGAAGAUAAAACUUUGAUUGACAUUAUAGUUCAGUAAUUCUAAUGUAUGUCUCAGAGCCCAUGCUAGACAUAAUUAGCAUAAGGUUAAAUUCUGGAGAAAAUACAUCCCAUCCCAUUACAGAAUAUUUUGAGAUCAAAUAAUAGUGCUCUUAAACAAGUGUAGGAUAUUCAACUACUGGCACACUCUACAUGAAGAAAUCACUCAAUUGGUUUUUGUCCUGGUUAAAAAAAGAGUCAUCUAACCAAGGUCACAUAUGGGAUUAUUCACAAGUCUUAAAUCUCGUAAUAGAAUGGAUAAUGGGGACGCAAGAAGGGAUAUUUCACAGUUUUGACUCAAAAUGUCUGAGCAGCAUUUAUAAUAGAGCAACAUAAAAGAAUUGCUAUUUGACACAAACAGCGGGAGACUCUGAUCCACUUUUCUCAGUAUUAUGGAAGCAAGACAGGGUUGGUUCUAGAAAAGGAAGUUGAAAGACAAAGCUGUUUUGCUGUGAGAAAACCCACUCAAGUAAAUAGUGGCUUUUUGUGCCUCAGGGUCUAGAAGGAAAUGCUAACUGAAAUUGUUGGGUGGAUGGGGACAAUGUUUUGUCUGCAGAUAUGAAAGAUGCUCCUCUGCGGGAUAUGCUGGCAUUUGACAUUGCUAAAGAAAGCUUAACUGUUCUGUGACUACUGUUCUUAACUGGAAUCCUUCCAUUUCAAGGACCUCUCAUCACUGGGCCCCAGUCUUGGGAGUAGCUUUGAGAAAGUGGUACAGCACAUAGCUUUGUUGAGUUUUUGUGGUCACAAUCUAUAACAUUGCGUCCGCGUCAUAGCUAACCCAAGUUUUGUCAAGGGAUAAACCUGCACUAGGGCUGUGGACAGCAAAAUGAAGCAUGCUUCUGCAUGUCUAAAAUAAGUGGAUUAGGCAACUCAUUUCAUUGAUUUAACUGAAUCAGACCUCUGUAAAACUGAUCCAAACAGCUAUGUGGCAAUUAGCUGGUUGCACGCCAUAAAAAUUGAGUGGUUCAUGAGUGGUUUGUAUGUUUAAUGGAUUUCUUCCUUCAAAACAUUAUUUUUGUAUCUUAAAAGCUUAACACAGUGUUUGGCACAGCACAGGUGCUCCAUAAACAUUUGUUAAAUGAGUUAGCUCUAAGAAGUCAGACUAAGCAAUUUAGUUCCACUCUUACUACCUGCUGUGCUAAAACUCUCCUUGGCUGAUUACAUAUGACACUUACAAAACCUUUGUUGUUUUUUAUAUUGCAUUUCAUCAGUUCCUAUUAGGUUUAAGGAAAAGAGGUGGAAAUAGUUUUUCGGCAAAUAUUUACGGAAUAUCUACCAUGUUCAAUGCACUGUAGAAUUCUGAGACCAUCUUUGCCCUACAAUAGCUUACAUCCUCAAAGAGGAGAUAAGAGAUAUACACACAAGCACAGUCUCAGAAUUACAGAUCUCUAAUUAAUAAAUUUAUUCACAUGCAAUUGGUAUGCUCCAAAUAUUAUAUAUGGGGUACAAAUCCCCUUUUGCUUAAUGCUUAAUAUUGUUUAAUGUUGAGACUAAAAUGACUCUAGGCCAUCCCUGGCUAUGAGUAACAGGUUUUUUUUUCAGAGUUCACUUUGCUAAGUAUUUCUAGAAAAGUUCUGGGGGUUGCUGUGGUGGUUUAUUUUCAUUUGUCGUUUCUUGAGUAUAUUCUCCUCUUCUAUCUGCCAGCUCUGAGCACCAGGACAUUGACCUCUGCUGGCUGCACUCUUACACCGCUCACGUUCCAUGAUCCAUGGGCUUCUGGUUGGGUUGGGCCAAUGGGAGGCAGUGGCAGGAGAUGGGAGAGGGGAGUGUAGAGAGAAAGAAUGGAGUUUUCACCCCUCUUCCUCCCUGCCUUGGAGCUGUUCUGAGAGCAGCUGCAUAUCUCUCAGCUAUAGGUCCCGUCUGGAGACCCACCGCUCAGCUCACUGGAGGCUAUGGUAGCAUCAUUCAUCCCUUGCCCCUCGUGAUGGUUAAUGCUAUGUGUCAACUCAACUGGGCCACCUAGUGCCUAGAUAAUUGGUCAAACAUUUUUCUGGAUGUGUCUGUGAAGAUGUUUCUGGAUGAGAUUAACAUUUGAAUUGGUAGACUAAGUAAAGCAGAUUGCCCUCCUCAAUGUGGGUGGGCUUCAUCCAGUCAAUUGAUGUCACAAUAGACAAAAAGAUUGAGUAAGAAGGAAUUCCUCCCAUCUGGGUGCUUGCACUGGGACACCAAUCUUCUGCCUCUGGACUCAGACUUGAACUGGAACUUACAUCUUCAUUCUCCUGGGUCUCCAGCUUGCUAACUACAGAUUUUGGGAUUUCUCAAUCUCCAUACUCAUGUUAACCAAUUCCUUAUGAUAAAUCUCAUUCUAUAGAUGAAGAGGUAGGUAGGUAGAUAGAUACACAGACAGACUGACAGACAGACAGAUAGAUAGAUAGACAGACAGAUAGAUAGAUAUAGCUUCCCACUGCUUUCAGCCUCUGGGUGCCUCAGCAUUCCUUGUUUGUUCUCUGGCUGCAUUCUCAUCAUUGUAAAUAGUCCUUCAAAAAAGUUUCUCAAAAUCACAGUUGAAUUUACCAUCUGUUUUCUGCUGGGAGACUCAUACAGUUGCUCAUGAACAUCAAUGAAAAUUCAUGAUGCCAGUUAGGAGGGUACAGGAAUUCAGACACCCUGAGCUCAGAGGCACAUUAAGGCCCACUUCCAAAACUGCUGGCCUCCAGACACUCCCACCCGCAUCUCUAGGUUUGUUCAACAAGGCCCCAUCUCCCUCAUUUGAGUGAAGGUUUGAUGUUGCCUAGAAAAUAAAUAAUUUGGAUAGUUCAUUUACUAUAACAGAAUUCCCCAAUCUGGAGGUGCUGGAGAAUGAAACUGAUAUGUAAAGAUUUGGUUUGACAGUCACGCAUCACUUAACGACAGGGAUGCACUCCGAGAAAUGUGUUGUUAGAUGAUUUUGUCAUUGUGCAAACAUCAUAGACCUAGAUGGUACACAGACCUAGAUGGUAGAGCCUACUACAUACAUAAGCUAGAUGGUAGAGCCCAUCACUCUCAUGCUACAAACUUAGACAGCAUAUUACUGAACUGAAUACUGUAGGCAAUUGGAACACAAUAGUAAGUAUUUGAGUAUCUAAACAUACCUAAACAGAGAAACAGUACACUAAAAUACAGUAUAAAAGAUUAAACAAUGGUACACCUGUAAAGGGCACUUACUAUGAAUGGAGCUUGCAAGACUGGAAGUUGCUCUGGGUGAGUCAGUGAGUGAGUGGUGAGUGAAUGGGAAGGCCUGGGAUGUCACUGUACACUACAGUAGACUUUAUAAAUGCUGUACACUUUGGCUACACUAAAUUUAGAAAAAAUUUUCUUUUUUCAGUAAUAAAUUAGCCAUAGCUUACUAUAACAUUUUUACGUUAUACACUUUUUAAUGUUUUUAACUUUUUGACUCUCUUGUAAUAACACUUAGCUUAAAACACACAUGUUAUAUAGCUGUACAAAAAUGUUUUCUUUAUGUCCUUAUUCUAUAAGUUUUUUUCUAUUAAAAAAUUUUUAAACAUACGUGUGCAUGUGUCUUUGUAGUAGAAUGAUUUAUAAUCCUUUGGGUAUACACCCAGUAAUGGGAUUGCUGGGUCAAAUGGUAUUUCUAGUUCUAGAUCCUUGAGGAAUCACCACACUGUCUUCCACAAUGGUUGAACUAAUUGACACUCCCACCAACAGUGUAAAAGUGUUCCUGUUUCUCCACAUCCUCUCCAGCAUCUGUUGUUUCCUGACUUUUUAAUGAUCGCCAUUCUAACUGGCAUGAGAUGGUAUCUCUUUGUGGUUUUGAUUUGCAUUUCUCUGAUGACCGGUGAUAAUGAGCUUUUUUCCGUGUGUUUGUUGGCUGCAUAAAUAUCUUCUUUUGAAAAGUGUCUGUUCAUAUCCUUCACCCACUUUUUGAUGGGGUAUGUUUAUUGCAGCACUAUUCACAAUAGCAAAGACUUGGAACCAACUCAAAUGCCCAUCAAUGUUAGACUUUGGAUAAAGAAAAUGUGGCACAUAUACAUCAUGGAAUACUAUGCAGCCAUUAAAAAGAAUGAGUUCAUGUCCUUUGCAGGGACAUGGAUGAAGCUGGAAACCAUCAUUCUCAGCAAACUAACACAGGAACAGAAAACCAAACACCGCAUGUUCUCACUUAUAAGUGGGAGUUGCACAAUGAGAACAUAUGGCCACAGGGAGGGGAACAUCACACACCGGGC